UGAACUUUGGCCAUUAUAAGCAGCACUUGACAAGACCGUUCUCUCAGUCAUAUGAUACAUAUGCCCUAUGAUCCAUCAUGACUUGCAACUAAAUAUAAAUGAGUAAAUGAAAUUCCAGUGAAUAAAAAUACACUUAGGACAGGUAGAGUUAAGUGCUACUGCCAGGAAUCCCCCUUAGAGCACAGAGCUUUUAUCUGUGCUGUUUGCUGAGCCCAUGCUCUUAUUGUGACGUUUAUUUCACCUCCUGUUCCUGUCUCCACCCCUAGGGUUGUUACCCUGAUUGUAUGCAGCUGGCCCUGUUUAGGUUCUAAUUAGUUUCUCUACUGAGUCCCUCUUAUUGCUACAUGUAGUUUAGGAGUUGUAUUGGCAUGUGUUUGGUGCCCGUUAUAGAAACAAGCAGCUAUUAAACUUUGUUAAAAAUGAGCUUUAAGGUGGAGAAUAUUGCUAGGUUCCUGUAUUUCAUGGACCCCAGCAGCGGAUCCUGUUCACUAGCAUAAAUGUUAUCCAUAGUCUUUCAACAAGCUCUUGCAAGCUGGACUCAGCAAGCAGAUGCUCUAGAACCUUCUGAAAAGCAUUAAAAGCUCACCCAGCUUGGUAUCAGCACUUCUCUCUGCAACUGGGUUUGACUUUCUAACUAACAGGCCCCAGUCCAUCAAGUUAGACAACCUCUUCUCCUCAAUCACCCUGAACACCAGCAUGCCACAAGUCUGUGUGCUGAGCCUGCUUCUGUACUCCCUGUUCACCCAUGACUGUGCUACUGCUUAUGGCUUCAACUCCAAAAUCAAGUUCACAGAUGACACCACGGUGAUAGGCCUGAUCGAAGACAAUGAGACUGCCUAUAAGGAUGAGGUUCAGCACUUGCCCAGGUGGUGUGCAACAAAUAACUUGGAACUUCUCAAGAAGACGAAAGAUCAUUGUGGACUUCAGGCGGACUGGAAGCCAGGCCCCAUCAAUGGACCUGUGGUGGAGCGUGUGCCUGGUUUCAACUUCCUUCGCAUCCACAUCUCCCAUGAUCUCACCUGGUCCCUUAACACCUCCACCAUAGUCAAAAAGGCACAGCAGCACCUUUACUUUCUAAGGAACCUCAAGAAGGCACACCUGUGUCCUACGAUCCUGGUGGACUUCUAUUGCUGUACCAUUAUGAGCAUACUCACUAACUGCAUCUCAGUCUGGUAGAGCAACUGCUCUGCUUCUGACCGCAAAGCACUCCAGCAGGUAAUUAAAACUGCCCAACAAAUAACUGGCACCCAGCUACCCACCACUGAUGACAUCUACCACAAGCAUUACCUUGGCCAGGCAAAACACAUCAUUAAGGAUGCCUCCUACCCUAACAAUGGACUUUUCACCCUCCUCCCUGCUGGCAGGCGGUACAGAAGUCUACAUUCCUGCACAAGUAGGCUCAAGAAGAGCUUCUUCCCCCGAGGCUGUGACCCUGCUAAACUCAAACCCUCCACUCUAAAAUUCCACACCUUGUAUUAUACUGUACUGCUCAGUACUUUAUUGGACAGUUAUUAUUGGAUGGUUACUUGCACUAUUCAUAUUUGCAUUCUGAACCUCACUGUUUACCCAUGUUCUGUACAUAUCAUCCAAUUGUACAUAUGUUGAUGUUCAUACUGUACAUGCCUCUCAUUUGCAAUCCCUUUCUAUUUUAAUAUAUUCACUGCUAAUGAAAUGCAGUUAGAUGCUAACUGCAUUUCAUUAGCUCUGUACUUGUACUCUGCUUAAUGACUAAAGUUGAAUCUAAUCUAGUCUCAUGUAUCACCUAUCUAAUCAGGUAUCAUGUUAUGUGUCACAGUUGUGGCUUAGGCUCUGGGUUACUGAUCGGAAGGUCAGGGUUUCAAGCCCUAGCACUGCCAAGCUGCUAUGGUUGGGCCCUUGAGCAAGGCCCUUAACCCUCUCUGCUCCAGGGGCACUAUCAUGGCUGACCCUGUGCUCUGACCCCAACUUCCUAACAUGCCGGGCUAUGCGAAGAAAAGAAUUUCACUGUGCAUACGUAUGUGAUCAAUAAAGACUCAUGUGUCUAGUGUCAUGUAUCUAAUGUAUCAUGUGUUUAAUGUUUUUUUUUUUUUUUUUUUUUUUUUUUUCUGGAUACACUCAAUGUUGCAUCACUGUAUGCACAUUUACAGUACCUGCUUUUGUUGAUCUGUAAGCAGAUGGAUCAACUAAUAUUGCAUACAUGAUUAGAUACAUAUCAUAGCGUCUCUCAGUAUCUGUUUGGAGAUUAUAAAAUAUUCGUCCAUAAAGUUUUGCUUGCAUCCUUUUUCAAACUGUCUUUUUAAAC
ensembl:lncRNA